rnacentral:rRNA from 1 species
CCUACGGGCGGCAGCAGUGAGGAAUAUUGGUCAAUGGGCUUACGCCUGAACCAGCCAAGUCGCGUGAGGGAAGACUGCCCUAUGGGUUGUAAACCUCUUUUGUCAGGGAGCAAUUGGCGCUACGUGUAGCGUUAUCGAGAGUACCUGCAGAAAAAGCAUCGGCUAACUCCGUGCCAGCAGCCGCGGUAAUACGGAGGAUGCGAGCGUUAUCCGGAUUUAUUGGGUUUAAAGGGUGCGUAGGCGGAAUGCCAAGUCAGCGGUAAAAUCGCGGGGCUCAACCUCGCUCCGCCGUUGAAACUGGCGUGCUUGAGUGGGCGAGAAGUAUGCGGAAUGCGUGGUGUAGCGGUGAAAUGCAUAGAUAUCACGCAGAACUCCGAUUGCGAAGGCAGCAUACCGGCGCCCAACUGACGCUGAAGCACGAAAGCGUGGGUAUCGAACAGGAUUAGAUACCCUGGUAGUC